rnacentral:rRNA from 1 species
AUUGAACGCUGGCGGCAGGCCUAACACAUGCAAGUCGAGCGAGCGGCGGACGGGUGAGUAAUGUAUGGGGAUCUGCCCGAUAGAGGGGGAUAACUACUGGCAACGGUGGCUAAUACCGACUACUAUAGGAUGACCCCCUAUGGGAUUGGCUAGUAGGUGGGGUAAAGGAUCACCUAGGCGACGAGCUCUAGAUGGUCUGAGAGGAUGACCAGCCACACGGGGACUGAGACACGGUCCAGACUCCUACGGUAGGCAUCAGUGGGGAAUAUUGCACAAUGGGAGCAAGCCUGAUGCAGCCAUGCCGCGUGUAUGAAGAAGGCCUUAGGGUUGUAAAGUACUUUCAGCGGGGAGGCGUUACCCGCAGAAGAAGCACCGGCUAACUCCGUGCCAGCAGCCGCGGGAAGUC